rnacentral:rRNA from 1 species
GGAGUUAGCCGGUGCUUCUUCUGCGAGUAACGUCACAGAUGUAAGGUAUUAACUUACACCCUUUCCUCCUCGCUGAAAGUGCUUUACAACCCGAAGGCCUUCUUCACACACGCGGCAUGGCUGCAUCAGGGUUUCCCCCAUUGUGCAAUAUUCCCCACUGCUGCCUCCCGUAGGAGUCUGGGCCGUGUCUCAGUCCCAGUGUGGCUGAUCAUCCUCUCAGACCAGCUAGGGAUCGUCGCCUAGGUGAGCCUUUACCUCACCUACUAGCUAAUCCCACCUGGGCUUAUCCAUCAGCGCAAGGCCCGAAGGUCCCCUGCUUUCCCCCGUAGGGCGUAUGCGGUAUUAGCAGUCGUUUCCAACUGUUAUCCCCCACAAAUGGGCAAAUUCCCAGGCAUUACUCACCCGUCCGCCGCUCGUCAUCUUCAAAAGCAAGCUUUUGAAAUGUUACCGCUCGACUUGCAUGUGUUAGGCCUGCCGCCACGCGUCAUACUGAGCACUGAUACAAACUACUGA